rnacentral:rRNA from 1 species
CCAGCAGCUGCGGUAAUUCCAGCUCCAAUAGCGUAUAUUAAAGUUGUUGCAGUUAAAACGCUCGUAGUUGAAUUUUGGGUCGGACGGGACCUGCGGGUCAAGGACUUUAGCGGGUGCUGCCGGCCAAUAAUUUUUCCGGAGUGGUCCGCGUGCUCUUUACUGAGUGUGCGGGGUCACUGCUCCGGACGUUUACUUUGAAAAAAUUAGAGUGUUCAAAGCAGGCGUUUUCGCUGUGAAUACAUUAGCAUGGAAUAAUGGAACAGGACUUUGGUCGUGUUUUGUUGGUUUUAAUGGCCGAAGUAAUGAUUAAUAGGGAUAGUUGGGGGCAUUCGUAUUUCGAUGUCAGAGGUGAAAUUCUUGGAUUUUCGAAAGACGAACUACUGCGAAAGCAUCUGCCAAGGAUGUUUUCAUUAAUCAAGAACGAAAGU